rnacentral:lncRNA from 1 species
ACGUCAGAAAUUAUAUUACUAGUAGGGUAACCCAGGGCGAUAAGGCUAUACCAAUAUGCUCAACUAAAUACUAGCAGGUGUCCCCACAUUGAUGGUGUUUUAUUAGUAUGCAAUGAUACAUAGCAGAAAGCGAAAACAAACCAGCUCGGAUGUCACCUGGGUUAACAAGGUCCACAGAUGUGAGUUAGGCAGAGGCUCACAUUCGGAAAGUUUAUUACAGUCUCCCUUGGCCACUGGUGGCAAAAGCAGCACCAACCCAAGUCUGGCUACUGCAAUACACGUACCCACAGUAGGGAACAGGUCACCACAUCAGAGCCCAACCAGCCAAAGUGUUUCUCAAGUGACUCACCCAGAGACCACCAAGGCUGGACAACCAUGUUAAUG